AACGAACGCUGGCGGCAGGCCUAACACAUGCAAGUCGGACGAGAAGGUUCCUUCGGGAACUGGAGAGUGGCGCACGGGUGAGUAACGCGUGGGGACCUACCUCUUAGUGGGGGAUAACGGUUGGAAACGACCGCUAAUACCGCAUACGCCCUUCGGGGGAAAGAUUUAUCGCUAAGAGAUGGACCCGCGUUGGAUUAGAUAGUUGGUGAGGUAAUGGCUCACCAAGUCAGCGAUCCAUAGCUGGUUUGAGAGGAUGAUCAGCCACACUGGGACUGAGACACGGCCCAGACUCCUACGGGAGCAGCAGUGGGGAAUAUUGGACAAUGGGGGCAACCCUGAUCCAGCCAUGCCGCGUGAGUGAAGAAGGCCUUCGGGUUGUAAAGCUCUUUCAGAUGCGAAGAUGAUGACGGUAACAUCAGAAGAAGCCCCGG
rnacentral:rRNA from 1 species